rnacentral:sRNA from 1 species
GCCGGGCAUGGUGGCUUGUGCCUGUAAUCCCAGCACUUUGGGAGGCUGAGGUAGAAGGAUCGCUUGAGCCCAGGAAUUCAAGGCUGCAGUGAGCGACAGUCAUCCCACUGCACUCCAGCCUGGGCAACAGAGUGAGACCCUGUCUCUAAAGAAAAUUAAAAUAGGUGGCUGGGUGUGGUGGCUCACGCCUGUAAUCCCAGCACUUUGGGAGGCUGAGGUGGGUGAAUCACCUGAGGUCAGGAGUUUGAGACCAGCCUGGGCAACACGGUGAAGCCCCGUCUCU